UACGCAGGGUGCAAGCGUUGUCCGGAUUUACUGGGCGUAAAGCGCGCGUAGGCGGAACGUUAAGUCCGGUCUGAAAGCCCCCGGCUCAACCGGGGAGGGUGGCUGGAAACUGGCGUGCUUGAGGGCGAGAGAGGAGGGUGGAAUUCCUGGUGUAGCGGUGAAAUGCGUAGAGAUCAGGAGGAACACCCGGGGCGAAGGCGGCCCUCUGGCUCGACCCUGACGCUGAGGCGCGAAAGCGUGGGGAGCGAACGGG
rnacentral:rRNA from 1 species